UACGUAGGGACCGAGCGUUGUCCGGAAUCAUUGGGCGUAAAGAGCGUGUAGGCGGCCACUUAAGUCCUGCGUGAAAUCUUGCGGCUCAACCGCAAGCGGUCGUGGGAAACUGGGUGGCUAGAGUGCGGGAGAGGAGAGUGGAAUUCCUGGUGUAGCGGUGAAAUGCGCAGAUAUCAGGAGGAACACCGGUGGCGAAGGCGGAUCUCUGGGCCGUAACUGACGCUGAGGAGCGAAAGCAUGGGGAGCGAACAGG
rnacentral:rRNA from 1 species